rnacentral:lncRNA from 1 species
CAUUUCUUGGGCCGCUCUUUCGGCACAUGGAGGUUCCCAGGCUAGGGGUCCAAUCGGUGCCGUAGCCCCCAGCCUACGCCAGAGCCACAGCAACGCGGGAUCCGAGCCGUGUCUGCAACCUACACCACAGCUCACGGCAACGCCAGAUCUUCAACCCACUGAGCAAGGGCAGGGAUCGAACCCGCAACCUCAUGGUUCCUAGUCGGAUUCGUUAACCACUGCGCCACCACGGGAACUCCGAGAAUCAGAGUCUUAUUUUUGCUCUUCCCUUGAUAUUCUUCUGCUCCUAUGUGGAUUUUUUUUGUGUGUGUGUUUUAUUAUUAUUUAAAAAAUUUUUAUUGAAGUAUAGUUGAUUUACAAUUUUAUGUUUAUUUUUGCUGUGUAGCAAAGUGACUAUAUAUAUAAUGAAUAUGAAAAAUAAUGUAUAUAUGUAUAUAUAUACAUAUAUAAAACUGAGUCACUUUGCUGUAUAUCAGAAAUUAAAACAACAUUGUAAAUGUUAUUUUAAUGUAUACACAUAUACCAUACAUGUGUAUAUAUAUGUUAUAUUCUUUUUCAUAUUAUUUUCCAUUAUAGUUUAUCACAGGAUAUUGAAUAUAUUUCCCUGUGCCAUAUGGUAGAACCUUGUUUAUCCAUACUUUAUAUACUAGUUUGCCUCUGUUAAUCCCAAAUCCCAAUCAUUCCCUCCUCAACUCUCUCCCACUUGACAACCACAAGUCUGUACUCUAUAUCUGUGUUUGUUUUUGUUUCAUAGAUAUGUUGAGUUGUGUCAUAAUCUAGAUUCCGCAUGUAAGUGAUAUCAUGUGGUAUUUGUCUUUCUCUUUCUGACUGACUUCACUUAGUAUGAUAAUCUCUAGUUGCAUCAGUGUCGCUGCAAAUGGCCAUUAUUUCAUUCUUUUUUAUGGCUGGAUAUUAUUCCAUUGCUUAUAUGUAACACAUCAUAUUAAUCCAUUCAUCCGUUGAUGGACAUUUAGAUUUUUUCCAUGUCUUGGCUAUUGUGAAUAGAGCUGUAAUGAACAUAGAGGUACAUGUAUCAAAUUAGAGUUUUGUCCAGUUGUAUGCCCAGGAGUGGGAUUGUUGAAUCAUAUAUAUGAUAACUCUAUUUUUAGUGUUUUGAGGAGCUUCCAUACUGUUUUCUGUAGCAGAUGCACCAAUUUUCAUUCCCACCAACAGUGCAGGAGGGCCCUCAUUUCUCUACACCCUCUCCAGCAUUUUUUAUUUGUAGACAUUUUGGUGAUGGCCAUUCUGAUUAGUCUAAGGUGGUAUCUCAUUGUAGUUUUGAUUUGCAUAUCUCUAGUAAUUAGUGAUGCAGAGCAUCCUUAGGUUCUGGCUGGCCAGCCAUAUGUCUUCUUUGGAGAAAUGUCUAUUUAGGUCUUCCGCCCAUUUUUCAAUUGGGUUGUUUGUUAUUUUGAUAUUGAGUUGUACAAGCUGUUUGUAUAUUUUGGAAAUUAAGCCCUUGUUGGUCUCUCUGGUGUCUAUUUGUGGAUGCAAAGAAUGUGUGGGAAUCUGUAACCAAAUGCACAAGGCCGUGAUGGGUAAUGGAUAUCACCUAGCAAUGGCCAGCAGCAUCUGAGCCUCAGGCGGUGGCCCAGCUAAAAUGUAGAGGCUUUCUGGGGAAAAUUCUGUUAGUAACAAUAGGGUUAUUGAGGUCCUACUGUGUGGAAGAGUUUCAAAUGCUUUGUUUCUGAGAUUGACAUCAUUAUCCCUGUUUUAUAGAUAAAACAGUGAAACUUAGAGAUGUUAAGUAAGGUUACACAGCUAAGGCAACAAGAAGGAACCCAGGUCUGGGGUCUUCAACGGUGUUACCUUUUUCACUGCCUUACAGUUGCCCUUGAAUGCUAGGUGGCUAAGGAUUGGCUCAGGGAACCAGCUGGCAUGUACCUGGAGACUUGCUAGAGAGUGAGGGGGUCAUUGCAGCAAACGUUUGUGACUUCUUACAAAAGGUAUGGUUUUAGUGCAUCAGUAUUCCAGUCAGUAUUGCUGUGAAACACGCUACCCCCACAUAGCAUAAAACAGCCCUUCAUAUACUCACAGUUUCAUGAGUCAGGAAUUUGGACAGGGCAGAGUGGAGUUGUCUUACCUCUGCUCCAUGACAUGUGAGGUCUCAUGCCUUUUGAUGGGAGGUGACAAGAUUCCAGCAAGGCAAAUGGGCCAGCACGUAUUGCUGUGGCCACUUGUGGACAAUACAGUCUGCCACGGUCGUUAUAAAUGUUGUGAAGGAAGGAAGGGAGAUAGGUAACUGGGAAGGAAAUGUCUUAAUGAAGUGCCCGGGUCUCUAGCAAAUCUCAGAGUAGUGAAAAGGAAUUAGGAAAAUCUUGGAAAGGCAAAGAAGUUCCAGUGCAAAUGGGGAGUAUUUGAAAAGGCUUCCAGUUGAAGACCCCAUCUAAAAAAAAAGCAGUGAUUGCUGGCUGCCCUUGAUUUAGUCCACUGGCCUGACUUCUGCUCUUCCUGCAGCCUCAGGUGGCCUCCACUGGCUGGAACUGCUUGUCCUGGAUAACCUUUGACAGCCCAGUCCCAGGCAAGACCAUAACAGCUUGCCUGCCUUUCUUCAUGGCUUAGCCUCAAGCCUCCUUUUACCAGAGAUUUGGAGUUUCAUUAAAUCAGGGCUUGAACUGAGAAAUAACGACUGCCUUUAUAUGCACUGGCUCUUUACUGGCAAGCUAUUAGGGGGAAGAUAAGGUUCUAUAACACUGCAGGAAUAAAGCCCAGAAAAUUAUGCGAAAAGCUCCACCAUCCUGGAUAAAUGUUAUAGGAGGCAUUAACCUUCCAUAAAAAUCCCUUUGCUAGGCAGGAAUUUAAAUGACAGCCACUGUGAGAGGAGAUAUUUAGCCUCAGAAACAUAUUAUAUUGCCACCUUCUCUAAGAAUAGCAAGUUCUUUGGUUUUCAGCUGUUGAGUUCUGUUCCUCUUUCUCAUAGAAAUGCCCAGUAUAAUAGCAAAUAUGUAGAUGUGAUUUUCUGGGUAGACCCCCUAUAUUGUACUGUAUCCUUCCCAAGAAGUCAUAUAUGUAUUCUCUGCUUUUAUUUAGGAAAAUUGAAUAAGAAAUUGAUAUCCAAGGAAAGCUGAAACAAACCCUUGUGAUAGCCUCCAAAUCACUUGUCUUGAGGGAAAAAUAAUUUUUUUCCCUAAGGUAUAAGUGUGAUUCUCCAAUGAAUGUGUUAGGCCAUAAAUUACAGUGAUUAUCCUCUCUUUUUGUAUAAAUGUGACUCUUCUAGCAAACAAGCCAGCAAAAGCACAGGGCAGAGACUUUAUAUGGAAGUUGAUGCAUGUUCUGCAUACAUAUUUAUAUAUAUUGGGGGAAAAUCUUAGGCAAUAGCGUAAAAGGAAUUAGUCUGCUUUAAAUAGUUAACUGCUGUGUCUCAGGAGUUUGUUCCCUGGUGGCUUAGUGGGUUAGGGAUCUGGCAUUGUCACUGCUGUGGCUUGGGUCACUGCUGUGGCCAGAGUGCCAUCCCUGUUCUCAGAACUUCUGCAUUCUGCAGCUGCUUCUUGCCCUUCCAGUUUGGUGUGAAAAUGAUGCUGAUGCUGAAUUUCCCAGUGGGCUAAGUGGAUGUAAGUUGUCACUCCCACUGUCUUGGGUUCCACUUGUCCAGGAAUCCAUAAAUCGGGAAUGAUUUUUCUAUCUGUUGACUGAGCAGCUUUGCAAAUAUCCUUUGGGGGACCAAAAUGAAAAUUUAUCUCAACGAGUAGUUGAGAAAUCCACAGUUGUCCCUUAGUUCAUUUAAUCAAAUUGACAUACUUAUGAGGUAAUAACUAUAAGAAUUUUAAGACUUUUUCUAGACUAAAUCACAACACAACCAAACAGAUUAACUUUGAAGGUUGGAAGCCACUCCAAAGAAAUGAAAGGAAAAUAGAUCUUCCAAAAGGCUUUAUGGUUUUUCCUAAUGAUAAAAUAAUGAUGCACCCAAUUAAUUUGUAUUAGAUAAUAUUUAUUUAGAAUAUUAAAAAGCUUGGUGCUUUAAAGUGGACUAAGUGAAAAAAAAAAGUCUUCAGAGGACUGUAUCUGAUCCCAAAUGAGAUUUGUUAUUUUUAGGAAGAGGGAAACUAACAUUUCUCGAGGGUCAAGAUGUGCCAGGCACUGUACUCAUUAAAUCCCUUUGAUCACUGGGUAAUGUAGGUAUUAUUAUUCCAUUUUUUUACAUAUAAAAAACCCACAGCCUAGAGAGGUCUACUACCUUGCUCAGACUGCAGAUUACCUGGACUAAAUCACAGUAUGUUGCUCAUCAGAAUCAUUCCAGGGUCUUUAGAAUUUCUCUAAAUUCCAAAAUGGCCAGCCAGUUUCUUAUGUGACACACCUAACUGAAAUAUCUGGUUCUUCCAUCCAAUUAAAUCUAAUCCAUUGACAAAUCCUCUCAGGUGUACUCUUAAACUGAUCACAAACCCAUGUAUUUCUUUCUGAUGUCACUGGAAUCAUUGUUAGAGCCCUGGCCAUCAUCAUCUCUGACCCUUUCCAUGGUUUCUAGGUGUGCUCCCUGCUUCCAUGCUUGCUCACCUGUCAUCAUUCAGAGUGCUCAGAACCAUCUUCUAAGAAAUUAAGAUAAAAUGAGUUUCUCCUCUGUUUGGAACUCUGCUGAUUACCUACUAUACCUAGAAUGAAAUUGGCAUUUCUUACCUUGGCUUAUAAGACCUGGUGGAAUCUGACCCCAGCCUUCCUAUCUUAUCUCAUCUCCUACAUGCUCUGCUUUGCUCUGCAAGCUCCACUCCCCACAGACAUUUGACCAUUGCUAGAAAAAAGCAAGCUCUUUCCUGCUUCUGGCUCUUUUUCACUCCAUAGGAUGGUCUUCUCUUGGCUCAUUAUACGGCUGGAGUGUUGCCCUUCAGGUCUUGGUACAAAAACUGGUUUCUCUGGGAGACCUUCAAUCACCACUCUCUUCAAGAAGCUCCCUCCACCAUGUUAUUUGGCAUCACAGUGCCUAGCUUGCAUUCUUCAUGGUGCUUGCCACUAACUGUAAUUAUAUAGUUGGUGUAUUUUCUUACUUAUUAUCUUUCCCUGCUCUUUACCCAGCUCAAAUCAAGUCACGUAUGACCAGGAACCCUUAUCUAUCACAUUCUGUGCUGUUAGUAAGUUCCUGAGCCAUGGUAGGUACUUAACAAACCUUUGAUGCAAAAAUUAAUCCAUACUCAAGUGGUCUUUCUGCUCUUAAAACCCCUCCCUAACCCAAGUCACAAAGUCUAUUUAACAAUCCAUCAUCUUUUCAGUAUCUUAUUGGGUAAAACUGUUGGAGUUGACUUUAGAAUCCUGGUCUCUACUCCCAUCACAGCCAUUUACUUGCUAUAUGACCUGAAGCAAGUCAUUAUUCCUCUCCAGAUGAUCUUCAAAUCCCCUCGGAGACCUGAUCCCAGAUUGUUUCCAGUUUCACUCUUGCUGUCCCCAUGAAGUGACUGUAAUAGAAGCAACUUGGUUUUAACUAAGUCAUUAUGUUGAGAUGCAGCCUGCAAUUUAUUUAGGUGGACCCGGUGUUUCCCCUCUGUUUGGAGACUCUUGGGUGGUGGUAAUGGAGUGUGUCAGGUGAUGAUGUCUGGGGAAAAGUGAUCCUUCCAGGAAGCAUUUCCCAAGAGAGGCAGAUGGGAUUUAUUGCUGGCAGCCACUGAUGGGGAGAAACCCAUAUGCCUUUUGCAAAACCUUGGCCUGCCUGAACAAGCACAGAGAAGCUAGAACUUUAUAGUGUAUAGUGUCUGUGGCAUCUCAGCCUCAUCACCUUAAGAACAAGAGUUCCUCACCAGAAAUCCCAGGCUGUAAAGGUGGUUAGAGGUCAGGAAACGUCAGUUCCUCCACGUGGGCUGGAUCUGCACUGGAUUGGCUGCCUGUCCUGUGCCUCCUGCUUUUCGGAACCAUCUGCUUUCUUCUGCAGUGUUUAUCUGGGAAUGAAGGAAGGGAGCGAGGUGGGUGCUCUUUGCUGAACUAAAUGCUCUGUGUUCAUUGCCUCACCAGAUGCUAUGAGAGGGUUAUUAUUUUCAUGCUGUUCCCAUUUUCCAGAUGGGGACACUGAGGCAUAGAGAGAGAUUGAGGGACUUGCUUGAAUCCCCAGUGUUAGGAAGUGGCAACAUUCUGUUGUACUCACUUUGCCAUCUCUAAUCCUCUCUUGUGUUGUUGGUCAGUUUCUGGUGUCACAGGGAACCCUGAACUCCACAGAAGGAACCCUUUUCAGGGACUAUUUGAAAGGUCACUGUGAUGGAUCAAGUAUGUGGCAAACGAAGUCCCUGCGACCAAGCUUUAUAACUUGAAAAAUAAAAUCAGGCAAAUGGCAUCAGAUUCCACAGGGAUACAAAUAAAUAACUGUAAAGAAGAAUCCUCUGCUUCAUGGGGGGAAAAAUAAAAGCAUUAAUGUGAACCUUAAGAAAUAUAUAGUUUUCUCUGUAUCCCUAUUGGCAUCAUGGCUUUUGACUGUUUUAGGAAAGCUUAAAUUUUUCCCAAGUCAGCAAAUAAACCUUCUAGAAGGUUAUCUGGGGCCUGAAAGAGAAGAU